rnacentral:lncRNA from 1 species
UAACUCUUUUCCCACCGUCAUCUGCUGUGACGCUAAGCAUACACAUCCUAUCGUUACUUUUUGUGGCGGUAGGAUUCAGAUCAAUACAAACGAGAGUUUGAUCCAAAACCAUCGCGGUCGUGGUCAUGCUAGCACGCUUACCGGCAUACAAAAAAUAUGACGAUCACCGUCAUAGAUCACUCGUCGUCGAAUUUGAGCACGACAGCCUACAUCUUAUCGAACCACGGCAUCUUCCUUGGCUACACGGUGUUGAGACCAACCUUCAUGAUCUCCACCCCUGUCAUCAUGCUAGCGAUAGCCACUUCUUUCGUCUUGGCCUUGGCAUUGACGACAUCGAUCUCUAGCAUCUUGGCUUGCUUUUCCACCUUCAUCUCAAGCAUCUUGGUUUGCUUCUCCG